AUUUAUAUAGUUUAAGAUAAAACAAUACACUUUCAUUGUAUAAAUAGCCCAUGGCUUAUAAAUG
rnacentral:tRNA from 1 species